UGGGGAAUUUUGGACAAUGGGCGCAAGCCUGAUCCAGCCAUGCCGCGUGUGGGAAGAAGGCCUUCGGGUUGUAAACCACUUUUGUCAGGGAAGAAACGGUCCGAUCUAAUAAAUUGGACUAAUGACGGUACCUGAAGAAUAAGCACCGGCUAACUACGUGCCAGCAGCCGCGGUAAUACGUAGGGUGCGAGCGUUAAUCGGAAUUACUGGGCGUAAAGCGUGCGCAGGCGGUUUGGUAAGACAGAUGUGAAAUCCCCGGGCUUAACCUGGGAACUGCAUUUGUGACUGCCAGACUAGAGUGUAGCAGAGGGGGGUAGAAUUCCACGUGUAGCAGUGAAAUGCGUAGAUAUGUGGAGGAAUACCGAUGGCGAAGGCAGCCCCCUGGGCUAACACUGACGCUCAUGCACGAAAGCGUGGGGAGCAAACAGGAUUAGAUACCCUAGUAGUCCCUGAGCGGGCUGGCAAGGCGCAU
rnacentral:rRNA from 1 species